GAUGAACGCUGGCGGCGUGCCUAAUACAUGCAAGUCGAGCGAACAGACGAGGAGCUUGCUCCUCUGACGUUAGCGGCGGACGGGUGAGUAACACGUGGAUAACCUACCUAUAAGACUGGGAUAAAUUCGGAACACCGGAGCUAAUACCGGAUAAUAUAUUGAACCGCAUGGUUUAAUAGUGAAAGACGGUUUUGCUGCUACUUAUAGAUGGAUCCGCGCCGCAUUAGCUAGUUGGUAAGGUAACGGCUUACCAAGGCAAUGAUGCGUAGCCGACCUGAGAGGGUGAUCGGCCACACUGGAACUGGGACACGGUCCAGACUCCUACGGGAGGCAGCAGUAGGGAAUCUUCCGCAAGGGGCGAAAUCUUGACGGAGCAACGCCGCGUGAUGGAUGAAGUUCUUCGGAUCUUAAGACUCUGUUAUUAGGGAAGAACAAAUGUGUAAGUAACUAUGCACGUCUUGACGGUACCUAAUCAGAAAGCCACGGCUAACUACGUG
rnacentral:rRNA from 1 species